rnacentral:rRNA from 1 species
AUUGAACGCUGGCGGCAUGCUUUACACAUGCAAGUCGAACGGUAACAGGUUAAGCUGACGAGUGGCGAACGGGUGAGUAAUGCAUCGGAACGUGCCCGGUCGUGGGGGAUAACACUUCGAAAGAAGUGCUAAUACCGCAUACGAUCUGAGGAUGAAAGCGGGGGACCGUAAGGCCUCGCGCGAUCGGAGCGGCCGAGGUCAGAUUAGGUAGUUGGUGGGGUAAAGGCCCACCAAGCCGACGAUCUGUAGCUGGUCUGAGAGGACGAUCAGCCACACUGGGACUGAGACACGGCCCAGACUCCUACGGGAGGCAGCAGUGGGGAAUUUUGGAGAAUGGGCGCAAGCCUGAUCCAGCAAUGCCGCGUGCAGGAAGAAGGCCUUCGGGUUGUAAACUGCUUUUGUACGGAGCGAAAAGGCUCCCUCUAAUACAGGGGGCUGAUGACGGUACCGUAAGAAUAAGCACCGGCUAACUACGUGCCAGCCGCCGCAGUAA